AUUGAACGCUGGCGGCAGGCCUAACACAUGCAAGUCGAACGGUAACACGAAGAAGCUUUGUUCUUAGCGGAGGCGUGGCGCAGGCGGGAGUAAAGUACGUCAGACUCUCCGAUGUCGGGGGGUAACUAGUGGAGACGGUAACGAAUAUAGCAUAACGUCGCUACGGCUGAGAGGAGGGGAUUCUCGCACCUUGCCCGCUGGAAUGACCAGAUGGGAUUAGCUAGUAGGUGGGGUAAAGGCCCACCAAGGCGACGAUCCGUAGCUGGUCUGAGAGGAUGAUCAGCCACACUGGAACUGAGACACGGUCCAGACUCCUACGGGAGGCAGCAGUGGGGAAUAUUGGACAAUGGGCGCAAGCCUGAUCCAGCCAUACCGCGUGGGUGAAGAAGGCCUUCGGGUUGUAAAGCCCUUUUGUUGGGAAAGAAAAGCAGCAGGUUAAUACCCCGCUGUUCUGACGGUACCCAAAGAAUAAGCACCGGCUAACUUCGUG
rnacentral:rRNA from 1 species